CCGAGUUAGCAUACUAGUAGUUAAGAUGUGAAAUCAUCACCAAAUCCAAACGUGUAUCUUUAUAAAUGUUUACACAUUGAAUCACAAGUUCCUAAAGAGGAAAAUUAAAAGAAACUUGAGCUGGACUCCAUUUUAUCACAAGCCCAGAAUGUUGAAAUGCUCUGGCCAAGUCAUCAAUUCAUUCAUCUAAGUGAAAAACCUACAAGAUCACAGAACUUCAAUUUCUACCAUUUUACCAAUUCCAGACAAUUUAUAUUGACAUUAUCUUUUAUUCUGGAAGCAAAGUUAAUGGUCUUCUGUAGGAUUCUUAAAGAAAAUAAAAUGGGCAAACUCAGUUUAUCUUGUGAUGUUUAAAGAGACUAAAACAGGCUUGUUCCAUAAAUAGCCACCAUCGUAAAUCCCAGGAAGCCAGGAGAGCACUGCGUGAUGGCAAUACGCUCCUGAUGCUGACGGCACUGUGCACUGACUGACGUGGCCACGGGCACUGUUUAUUCAACACGAGCUGCGUCACAAUAGACUCCACGUUAGGAUAGACAAUUCACAUCUUCUUAGGAUUUUUGCGUGGUACUUCAAAUGUUUGGGGGAUUUGUAAUUACUUACCAUCCUCCCUUGACAUGCUUAUUCCCAUGAUUAAAGAACUCCAUACCUCUCACCUGGACUAUUCCUGACUAGCAGCUUCCCCCACCCCAGCCAGUCCUCACCACCAGCAGUGUCCUGGACAAUGCAUCAUGGAGCCUGUCAUCUCUGUCCAUACCUUGUGUCUUUUUUCUCCUGCUGCCUUCCCACAAGCUUCCCUUACCAGCCCCCUGGAGUUUCAUGCCACUCCCCAGACUGCUGCCCCUCAGUUCUGCUCCGGUGCUACCUUUCACGAACACCUUCACCAUCUCCCCUGCUGACUGCCAAAUUUUCAUGAGGACUUUGAGACCAAGUCACAACUUCACCUCUCCUGUGGAAGCCCACUCAGAAAGCCCCGGGCUGGCCUGCCAGCUUUUGUCUUAACAUACUGUUUGGCCGCCAUUCUUACCACCACUGCCUCUUUGCAAAUCUGGUUUGCAUCUCUCCACUAUCACCCUCUAUCCAUGCUCUGCCAGGGUAG
rnacentral:lncRNA from 1 species